GGGGGCGAACAGGAUUCGACCGGAUACAGGAAGCGUGGGUGGCAGGAUGAGGUCGCCGGUAGUCCUCAUUAAUCAACUGGCAAAAAAUAGCUGGCAACAGCAACUACGCUUUGGCUGCUUAAUUAAGCCGCCCCUCUGCCGAAUCCCCCUCCCCUGGGGGUCUGGAUGGAGGCAACAAAAGGGGAUAGCGCUCGAGCCGGGCUCCCGGGCAAGGCCGCGAAAACAAACAGGAAGCUGGCCGCUGCGGAUCCCGUCCUGGGGAGCCAAGGCGGCGAGACAAAAACCCAGGACUAUUCCUGUAGAAGCACACGCCGAAUGGUCUCGGGACGGGGGUUCGAUUCCCCCCGCCUCCACCA
rnacentral:tmRNA from 1 species